rnacentral:sRNA from 1 species
GCCCACAGGGCUUGUUUUGCGCAGGGAUACCCAGCGAUUUGGCUGCUGGUACCAGGACCCAGCCUUCUUUCCCUGGUGCCUCUGGGAAGCAACGAGGCUGGUCAGGAUAGCUGGUCAGGGGUGCCCAGAGUCCCCUCCCCCGACCUCUGCACCAAUGACACUGGAACACAGGCCCUUUGUCCCAUGUGAGCAGAGACGGCUGGUUGCUGAGAGGAUUUGACUUUUCAUUCUCACGGUCUUCCUGGGAGGUGGGUGGAGGAGCCUAUUUUGCAAAUAAGGAAACCGAGGCCCAGAAGAGGGCCCCUGUCUUGCUGAGGUCUUGCUAGCCUAGCUGGGUAGUUUCCUGGCUGUGGAGGCCUGGCGGGGAUGGGAUCUGCCUGGCUUUCAUGGGUCUGUGCCCUGCAGUGCUCCACCACCUGUGGCCUGGGUGCCGUCUGGAGGCCGGUGCGCUGUAGCUCCGGCCGGGAUGAGGACUGCGCCCCCGCUGGCCGGCCCCAGCCUGCCCGCCGCUGCCACCUGCGGCCCUGUGCCACCUGGCACUCAGGCAACUGGAGUAAGUGCUCCCGCAGCUGUGGCGGAGGUUCCUCAGUGCGGGACGUGCAGUGUGUGGACACACGGGACCUCCGGCCGCUGCGGCCCUUCCAUUGUCAGCCCGGGCCUGCCAAGCCACCUGUGCAUCGGCCCUGUGGGGCCCAGCCCUGCCUCAG